rnacentral:rRNA from 1 species
UAAACCUACGGGGGGCAGCAGUGGGGAAUAUUGGGCAAUGGGCGCAAGCCUGACCCAGCAACGCCGCGUGAAGGAAGAAGGCUUUCGGGUUGUAAACUUCUUUUGUCAGGGGCGAAGCAAGUGACGGUACCUGACGAAUAAGCCACGGCUAACCACGUGCCAGCAGCCGCGGUAAUACGUAGGUGGCAAGCGUUAUCCGGAUUUACUGGGUGUAAAGGGCGUGUAGGCGGGGAAGCAAGUCAGAUGGGAAAACCACGGGAUCAACCUGUGGCCUGCCUUUGAAACAGUUUUUCUUGUGUGCUGGG